GGUAUUGUGGCUCAGCGGUGGAGCGCGCGCCUCACACAGGCGGGACCUGGGUUCAAUCCUCAGCACCA
rnacentral:tRNA from 1 species